rnacentral:ncRNA from 1 species
UACCUUUGCACACGAAUUAGGAAAAACUUAAUUCAUACAUAAUAAUCAUUUAAAUAAUAUUGGAAUG